GUUAAGUCUGCCAUGUAUGUUGCUCUCUGUUGACGCUGCCCACCUACACCAGUCUGUUUUCACUGGAAGUGAGAGGAGUGGUUGAAGGGAAAAAAAGAGAUUCGGUGUUUGAAUAACUUCUUAUUUGGUGUGCUUUUACGACAAGACAUUUCAGGAUUAAACAGGGUGCCGUGGUGUACUGUAAGAAAGCAGUAUUUCAGCUCAGGGGUGAACAAGUGCUCGCUGGACUGCAUUGAGGGCCGCCACCUUUGUCACCCUGGACGAUGAGAACCAAGGAAUGAUGGGAGAAGACCCAGUGGGAAACCUGAACCGCUACGCCAAUUCCCUCCUCCACGGAAAAUGUUAUGACAGGCGGCGAAUCGCAUCUCUGCAUGUCUGUCAGACAUAUCAGUGUGGAUGACGGAUCACCAGCUCAAGCU